AGCCAAGGACAAACAGCACAUACCUGCUACUAUCAGAUCAGACUGGACAGAGAGGAAUGAGAAGGAGGAGAAUGUUUCCUGAAACCUCAUUAUAUGUUGCUAAUUACAUAUUAAGUAAGCCAAGAGUCAACAUAUAUGACUCAAGAAGAAACCAAUACAGCGAGAGGGUGAGGGUGGUCUUGGAGAGCUUUCGAACCCCUCGUCUCGGCUUGAAGGACUACUGGCUGAGCCCACAACGGUCCCACCUUUCUGGUACCACUUGGAGGACUUCACAAAGACAGCUUAUGAUUCUGCCAGGAAACACAGGUGUCUCUGAUGUACAUUCCAGUCUCUAUCCAAGCUGCUGCCGCCUACACCAUCCCCUAGUGUGGAAGUACCGCUGGCAGAAGCUCAAUGAGCACCUGAGGAGAGUGCGAUACUAAAGAUGAUGCCGGGCUCAAAAAAAAGAAGGUGGACUCCAAUCAAGUUCUAGACACAUCUCAAGGAGAAUUAAAGCUAAUAGGAUGCACUUGACUGCAAUCGGGAGUGUGACAACAAAGGGUCUGAAUACCUACAUACUGUAAAGGAGAGAUUUUACUGUUGGAUUUUUUAAUAAAUUUGCAAACCUGUCUGUAAGUAA